rnacentral:lncRNA from 1 species
CUUGACUAAUGAAGACUUUAAACCCCUAAAUAAGUGAACAAAGGAGCAAUGUUCCCAGAAGCAUUUGCCUAAAGUAAUUUGAGGUUAUUUAGUAACCAGCACAAUGCACGGAGUCACUGUAAAUUCAAGAUUGCAUGCUGCAUUCUGUUCAGACUUUACAGACUGCCAGGGAACUGAAAGAGCAGUUCAUCCCCUGCUUCAGUGAUUUCUUACGAGGUAGUUUGCCAUGGAGCUGGCUGGAUUUUUUAAAAAGGUUUUAAACCAGAAAAAAGUUAACCUAGCAGGUGACAUAUAUUGAGGAAAGUACUGAAAAACAUUGUGCUGUAUCUUCCUUUCCCUUCCAUUUAUUUUCACUUACAACUCUAACACAAGGCUCAGAUUUUUUAGUAGAUUGGCUUUGUAAUAUAUCUCCUGCCUUGAGACUCCAGUGCAAGGUUACUCUGCUUCCAGCUCCCACUCUCUGCUUAGAUGUUGGAAGUGCAGAGAAGAGAGCUGCUGGCUAAUCUGUUUCAGAUCCAUUGGAGUGGCCCAGCACGUCAGGACCAGAUUCUACUGGCAUCAGACCUGCCUGUAUGUCUAUUAUCACAUGCAGCCUUGCACUUCACAUGGAUAUCCACUGAGUUGCUAGAUGAAUCUUCACUGCACCGUCCCAGCAGAUGAACCCAGCCUAAACUUCUACUACUGCACCUGCACAGCUGCCUUGCCACCACUGCUUGUUUGUCAAGGGCUCCUCAAUGUCUGUGUAAUACGUAGAAUAUGGAAGAAAAUUAACAUACCAGUGUAUCAUGAAGCGGCCACAUCACACCAGGGUUUGGGAUUUUUGUGGGGGAGUUGUUUUGUGCUUUUCUUGUAUUGUACCUAACAGAAAUGGAGCUGGACUUUCCAGGGUAUUGUGGCAAUACAAGCUAUAAAUAAUAAUUACAAUAAUAAUCUCCAAUUUCAACAAAGCUUCUGGGCUAGCACAUAAAAACUGAAAUACUAGACUGCCAGAUUUUAAAGACAAAUGUUUUG